CAACCCUCAAGCUCUGCUUGGUAUUGGGUGUCACCACCUUGUGGUAUACCUAAAAAUCAGUGGCGGUGCCACCUUGCUUCUAGCAUAGUAAUACUUUCUUGCUGUGGAGUUUAGGUGUAUGCUUGCCAUCAACCCCUUAAUUAUACAGG
rnacentral:misc_RNA from 1 species